rnacentral:rRNA from 1 species
CAGGGAAUAUUGCACAAUGGGCGAAAGCCUGAUGCAGCGACACCGCGUGCGGGAGGAAGGCCUUCGGGUUGUAAACCGCUUUCAGGAGGGACGAAAAUGACGGUACCUCCAGAAGAAGGUCCGGCCAGCUACGUGCCAGCAGCCGCGGUAACACGUAGGGACCAAACGUUGUCCGGAAUUAUUGGGCGUAAAGGGCUCGUAGGCGGUUCAACAAGUCGGCCGUGAAAGCCCGGGGCUCAACCCCGGGACGCCGGUCGAAACUGUUGUGACUAGGGUCCGGUAGAGGUCACUGGAAUUCUCGGUGUAGCGGUGGAAUGCGCAGAUAUCGAGAGGAACACCAUUAGCGAAGGCGGGUGACUGGGCCGGUACCGACGCUGAGGAGCGAAAGCGUGGGGAGCAAACAGGAUUAGAUACCCCCGUAGUCC